rnacentral:rRNA from 1 species
AUUGAACGCUGGCGGCAGGCCUAACACAUGCAAGUCGAGCGGAGCGGCGGACGGGUGAGUAAUGCCUGGGAAGCUGCACGGUAGUGGGGGAUAACGUCCGGAAACGGGCGCUAAUACCACAUGCUAUCAAAUGAGCCUAGGGCGGAUUAGCUAGUUGGUGGGGUAAAGGCCUACCAAGGCGACGAUCCGUAACUGGUCUGAGAGGAUGAUCAGUCACACUGGAACUGAGACACGGUCCAGACUCCUACGGGAGGCAGCAGUGGGGAAUAUUGGACAAUGGGCGAAAGCCUGAUCCAGCCAUGCCGCGUGUGUGAAGAAGGUUUUCGGAUUGUAAAGCACUGUUAGUAGGGAGGCGUUACCAACAGAAUAAGCACCGGCUAACUUCGUGCCAGCAGCCGCGGUAAUUC